rnacentral:rRNA from 1 species
ACUCAAAUGAAUUGACGGGGACCCGCACAAGCAGAGGAGCAUGUGGUUUAAUUCGAAGAUACGCGAAAAACCUUACCAGGACUUGACAUCCCUUGCAUAGCCGUGAAAGCGGUGAAAGGAAAGCAAUUUCCCAAGGAGACAGAUGGUGCAUGGUUGUCGUCAGCUCGUGUCGUGAGAUGUUCGGUUAAGUCCGAUAACGAGCGCAACCCUUGUCGUCAGUUGCCAGCAUUAAGUUGGGCACUCUGGCGAGACUGCCGUAGACAAUACGGAGGAAGGUGGGGAUGACGUCAAAUCAUCAUGCCUCUUACGUUCUGGGCUACACACGUGCUACAAUGGUAACUACAAUGUGUUCCGAACUGGCAACAGGGGGGCAAUCACAAAAAAGUUAUCUCAAUUCGGAUUGUGGGCUGAAACUCGCCCACAUGAAGUCGGAUUUGCUAGUAAUCCCGAAUCAGCAUGUCGGGGUGAAUGCGUUCCCGGGUCUUGUACACACCGCCCGU